rnacentral:snRNA from 1 species
AAAUGUGAGGGCAAACUGGCUAUGACAUUUGUCGCCUAAGUGAUCUCCAGUGUUAAUUCAUCUGAUCUGGCUGCUUAGCCANGUGUCCCCUUCCUUCAUUACUACUCCUUGUUAGUAGCUGCCCACCUCAUUGAAGAAAACCUUCACCUUAAAGGGCAGGGUCAUUGUCCUAUCAGAGGCAUAGAGUAGCUGCCCUCUCCUGCUAGACCCUCCAAACAAGGACCUGGGCAUGGGGGAGGGGCUGCCUUAGAAGUUUCUUACACAUGAUCCUAGCUGCUCUGAUGGUGUUGCCAGUUGUG